CAAACAUCAGCAAAGAGGAGCAGAGUGACGCAGUUACAGCAGACAUGUCCGUGUUCUCUGUUUCUGCUGAUCUGACUCUUAGUUUGUCCUAAAAGUCUGAGUCUGUUGGUAUUUUCACUCAAUAACUGAACCUGAGUUUAAACCUGACGACACAAGAUUAA